rnacentral:lncRNA from 1 species
GGGUAACACACACAGAGUUCAGUGACCUCCUUGUUCCUUGAGGAGAGAGGACCUAUUCCUAUCUAAGGACAUUCCCAGAAGGCAAUGGGUUUCAAACAACGUCCUGGAGACUCAUCUCAGGGAACUAAGCAGAGCCAAGGAAUGAAGCUAUAAUGAAGACAACAAAGACAGGAGAACAAUUAUGGGGGUUGAUCCUUGGCUGAUAGACUUGACUUCAAAGUCGACCAUUAGCACCCCGGACCGCUUCCAGCUGCCCUCUAGGGUGGGAUGCCAGUGUGAUAAAAUACAGCGUCGUGUUUGCUGAGGAUUUCAGCUGCCACCUGGGGGCUCAUGCACUCAAUGAGUGCUCU